rnacentral:rRNA from 1 species
GACGAACGCUGGCGGCGUGCUUAACACAUGCAAGUCGAGCGGUAAGGCCCUUUCGGGGGUACGACGAGCGGCGAACGGGUGAGUAACACGUGGGUGACCUGCCCUCCAGCUCUGGGAUAAGCCUGGGAAACCGGGGUCUAAUACUGGAUAUGACUCCAUGACGCAUGUUGUGGGGUGGAAAGCCUUGUGCGGCUGAGGAUGGGCCCGCGGCCUAUCAGCUUGUUGGGGGGGUGAU